AACUUUUUUCUUGAAAUAAUGGCGAAAUCGCCCUUGGUUUUUGGACAAAACAUUAUUUUUCAUCACAGAAAGGGUGGACAAUUUUGGUACAUUUUUAUACUGUGUGCGGUCACACUAAGGCAAUGACAAUGAUUUUCGUGGUUUCUGUCCUUCGGAUGUUCAGCUCGCAAAAAACUUAGAGUUUAAAAGUGAACAAAAAUUGUGAAAAAUGGACUUUGUUUUAAAACAAUUGGACGGGGAAGCCUUUAAAUCAAUUUUCAUCGGUAAAAGAGCAUAAAGGUAAACUCUUUCUAAAAGAACUUGGCGGAAAGUCUGAGGAUACUCAAAAUGUUCUUCUACUAUUGCUGUUGCACUCCAAAUAUCAAAAAUGCUUAAUAGAUGAUUCCAGAAAUAAAUUUUUAAUUUGGAAAUCGACGAUUGGAGAACUGCAAGAUUACAUCUCUGGCGAAGUCAACUCUUAGUUUGGAAAUAAGACCAGUUUUCAACCACUGAUUUGUUGCAUCGGAAGUGGACCUCACAACCAGGAACAUUUUUAUGUAUAUGUUUCAGGUAUAUUUUAUA